GAUGAAGAACGUAGCGAAAUGCGAUACUUGGUGUGAAUUGCAGAAUCCCGUGAACCAUCGAGUCUUUGAACGCAAGUUGCGCCCGAAGCCAUUAGGCCGAGGGCACGCCUGCCUGGGCGUCACACGUCGUUGCCCCCCCAUCUACUCCUUCGGGAUUGCGGGGGGCGGAUGAUGGCCUCCCGUGCGCCUCGCCGCGCGGUUGGCAUAAAUGCCAAGUCCUCGGCGACGCACGCCACGACAAUCGGUGGUUGCGAAACCUCGGUUGCCCGUCGUGUGCGGUCGUCGCGCAUCGAGGGCUCGAAAAAAUUGCCGGGUUCCGGCUCGGCUUUCAACGCGACCCCAGGUCAGGCGGGGUUACCCGCUGAAUUUAAGCAUAUCAAUAAGGCGGAGGA
rnacentral:misc_RNA from 1 species